rnacentral:rRNA from 1 species
UACGGAGGGUGCAAACGUUGCUCGGAAUCAUUGGGCGUAAAGCGCACGUAGGCGGUCCGGAAAGUCGGGUGUGAAAUCCCUCGGCUCAACCGAGGAAGUGCAUUCGAAACUUCCGGACUUGAAUAUGGAAGAGGGUCGCGGAAUUCCCGGUGUAGAGGUGAAAUUCGUAGAUAUCGGGAGGAACACCAGUGGCGAAGGCGGCGACCUGGGCCAAUAUUGACGCUGAGGUGCGAAAGCCAGGGGAGCAAACGGG